rnacentral:rRNA from 1 species
UACGGGGGGGGUAAGCGUUGUUCGGAAUUACUGGGCGUAAAGGGCUCGUAGGCGGCCAACUAAGUCAGACGUGAAAUCCCUCAGCUUAACUGGGGAACUGCGUCUGAUACUGGAUGGCUUGGAUCCGGGAGAGGGAUGCGGAAUUCCAGGUGUAGCGGUGAAAUGCGUAGAUAUCUGGAGGAACACCGGUGGCGAAGGCGGCAUCCUGGACCGGUAUUGACGCUGAGGAGCGAAAGCGUGGGGAGCGAACAGG